rnacentral:sRNA from 1 species
UGAAGCCUGACGAGGAUGAGAACCUCCGGGGGCAAGAGGUUCGACUCGAGCGAAGCGAGAGAACGUUGCGUCAGCAACGGCCCGCAGUGGCAAGUCAUCCUCUGUCACCGGCAG